GGGCCUUUGGUCUAGUUGGUUAUGACAUCGCCUUUACACGGCGGGGAUCCCCGGUUCGAAUCCGGGAAGGCCCA
rnacentral:tRNA from 1 species